rnacentral:rRNA from 1 species
AUUGAACGCUAGCGGCAGGCCGAACACAUGCAAGCUGAACGAGUGGCGGACGGGUGAGUAAUGUCUGGGAAACUGACUGAUGGAGGGGGAUAAGGAAUGGAGACGGGAGCUAAUAACGCAUACAAUCAGAUGUGCCCAGAUGGGAUUGGCUAGUAGGUGGGGUAACGGCGCACCAAGGCGCCGAUCCCUACCUGGUCAGAGAGGAUGCCCGGCCACACUGGAACUGGGACACGGUUCGCACUCCUACGGGAGCCAGAAGUGGGGAAUAUGGCACAAUGGGCGCAAGCCUGAUGCAGCCAUGCCGCGUGUAUGAAGAAGGCCUUCGGGUUGUAAAGUACUUUCAGCGGGGAUGCGUUUCCCGCAAAAGAAGCACCGGCUAACUCCGUGCCAGCAGCCGCGGUAAUUC